rnacentral:rRNA from 1 species
AGUAACACGUAAACAACCUGCCUUCAGGAUGGGGACGAACAGACGGAAACGAACUGCUAAUACCGAAUAAGUUCCAAGAGCCGCAUGGCCCAUGGAAGAAAAGGUGGCCUCUACCUGUAAGCUAUCGCCUGAAGAGGGGUUUGCGUCUGAUUAGCUGGUUGGAGGGGUAACGGCCCACCAAGGCGACGAUCAGUAGCCGGUCUGAGAGGAUGAACGGCCACACUGGAACUGAGACACGGUCCAGACUCCUACGGGAGGCAGCAUG